CAAAAGAAAUUAAAGAUGGAAUUAUUAAUAGUAUUGACAUUU
rnacentral:sRNA from 14 species